rnacentral:lncRNA from 1 species
ACUCUCUGACAUUCUCUGUGGUUAGGGUAGACACUAUGCCUUCUCAUGGCUUUAUGUAUUCUACAUAUAUACCCCAAACUAAACAAAAAAUAAAAUCUCAUCUAUCCUAAUUUUCUGCCCUUGUAUUUUAUUAAUUCUGCACAUUAGGUCAUUUGAAACAGAGAGUGCAUGAAGAAGGUGAAACAUACACAUGGAUAUCACACACACACUUGCACUCACUCACACCCAGGAGCAAACAACAUGCGCUUGCACCCACUCACACCCAUGAACAAACCACACCACACACUUGCACUAACACCCGUGAGCAAUAACACCACACCCUUCCACUCACACUUGGAAGCAAACACCAUGUGCUUGCACUCACACCCCUGAGCAAACACCACACGCUUGGACUCACACCUGUGAGCAAACACCACAUGCUUGCACUCACACCCAUGAGCAAACACCACACGCUUGGACUCACACCUGUGAGCAAACAACACGUGCUUGCACUCACACUUGUGAGCAAACCACACCACACACUUGGACCCACUCACAUCCAUGAGCAAACAGCAACA